UCCCUGGUGGCUCAGAGGUUAAAGCAUCUGCCUGCAGGAGACCUGGGUUCGAUCCCUAGGUUGGGAA
rnacentral:tRNA from 1 species